rnacentral:tRNA from 1 species
GGGGCUGUAGCUCAGUGGCAGAGCGCUUGCCUAGCAGGCAUGAGACACUGGGUUCAAACCUCAGCACCACA